rnacentral:rRNA from 1 species
GAUGAACGCUGGCGGCGUGCCUAAUACAUGCAAGUCGAACGGAGAGCCUUUGUAGUAAUACAGUGGCUUCUUAGUGGCGAACGGGUGAGUAACGCGUUGGUGACCUGCCCCAAAGUGUGGGAUAACAGUCCGAAAGGAUUGCUAAUACCUCAUGUGGCUUUCGGAAUUAGAAACCGAUUUCUAAAGGAGUAAUCCGCUUUGGGAGGGGCCUGCGUCCCAUCAGCUAGUUGGUAGGGUAAUGGCCUACCAAGGCUUCGACGGGUAAGGGGCCUGAGAGGGUGACCCCUCACAAUGGAACUGAAACACGGUCCAUACACCUACGGGUGGCUG